CAUUGCAAUAGUUUUUUUUUGUGUUUAAUUAUAUAGUUAUAUUUCCAUCAUCACAGUCUAGUCUUAGAAUAUUUUCAUAAGCCCCCCCCCCCAAAAAAAAAAAAACCACCUUGUGUUCAUUAGCUGUCAGUGAUCAUUCUGCACCCUUAUUCCCUGGUGACCACUGAUUCUCUCUCUCUAAAUUCCCUGUUUUGGAUGUUUUAUCUAAAUGAAUCAUAGAAUAUGUAGCCUUUGUGUCUGAUUUCUUUCACUCAGCAUAAUGUUUAUGCACAUAUCAGUAAUUCAUCCUUUUUGAUGCUCAAUAAAUAAUCAACUGUAUGGAUAUAUACCAUACCAUAUUUUGUUGAUCCAUUCAUCAGUUGACAGAUAGUUUGGUUGUUUCUACUUUUUAUCUAUUACAAAUAAUAUGGCUGUAAACCUUGGCCUAGAAAGCUUUUGUGUGGCCAUGUUUUCAGUUCUUUAGGAGUCAGAUGGUAACAGUAUUUAACAAUUUGAGGCACUGCCAGACUGUUUUUCAAAUGCACCAUUUUUAUGUUCCCACAAGUGAUGAAUGAGGGGUCCAAUUUCUCCUUACCUAAGACAACCCUUAUUACUGUCUGGCUUUUUGAUUAUAGCUAUCCUGAUGAGUAUGAAGUGGUAUCUCAGUGGUUUUAUUUAUUUAUGUUUUUUAUGCUAGGGAUUGAAUCCAGGAACACUUUGCCACUGAGUUACAUCCCCGUGCUUUUUGUGUAUUAUUUCGAGACAGGGUCUCGCUAGGUUCCCAAGGUUGGCCUCAUGCUCCAGAGUCACAGGGGUUACAGGUGUGGGUACUGCUGGGCCCGGCAUCUCAGUCUGGUUUUGAUUUUCAUUUUUCUGACGGCUAAUGAUAUUGAGCCCCUUUUCCUCUUUCCUGGAUUAUACCUUUGGGACCAGAUCAAUCUCCUUCAAAGGAAGAAACUGCAACAAAUAUAGCUCUGGAGUUGUUGGCAGCUAUGCUUUCUGCCAUUGGAAAAAACCAGGGCGAAGUUAGAGAGGGAGAAGGCUGCCAUGUGGAAAGAGAUGCAAGGUGGGAACAGAAGUUGUGGAGUUUGAGUUCCUGUGACAGUUCUUACGGAAGGCCAGCUUGACCUCUGACCUUUCUGUGGUUCAUAGUUCAGUCCUUUGACGCUGCUUACUGACAAAUUAUUAUUGUUGCUUAAACAUCUUUCUUUUUUUUAAAGCUUCUUCCAUUUGGAUCUGAAGAUAAUUAUGAUGAUGAUGCUACUACUGAUUGUUUUAAGAUCAUUUUUCCCAAUUUCUAAAUGACAGAGCUACUAUGAAUUGGAGUCUUUAGGAGUCAAAAGGAUUUUAACAGGUUGUAAUCAUGGGAGAAACCAACCAGCUUCAUUUUAACAAAGACAAAUGACACCACCAGCAUUUUGAUUCAAAUAAUCAAUGACUUGUAUAGCUGAUGGGAGGGACCUGGUUUCACAGGAGUCUAUGUUAACAAUCACAGGGGAAUUUAACUUCAGCAGUGUUGGCCACCAGUAAUAGCUGCUAAAACUUUAAUUUAGCAGAAAAGGGGAGUAGGUAGGCCAG
rnacentral:lncRNA from 1 species